rnacentral:rRNA from 1 species
UAUUUAACCAGUGCUACAAGACCUGACAUCUCUUUUGCUGUUAGCAAACUGAGCCGGUUUGUCUCAAAACCAGGAGAUGUGCAUUGGAAAGCUCUAGAGAGAGUUUUGCAUUAUUUGAAAGGCAUUGCGAAUUAUGGAAUUCACUACACUGGGCAACCAAAGGUGCUUGAAGGGUAUAGUGACUCAAACUGGAUCUCAGAUGCUGAUGAGAUAAAGGCCAUGAGCGGAUAUGUAUUCACUCAUGGAGGUGGCGCUGUUUCUUGGAAGUCUUGCAAGCAGACCAUCUUAACGAGGUCAACAAUGGAAGCAAAACUCACAGCACUAGAUAUAGCUACGGUCGAAGCAGAUUGGCUUCGCCGGCUCCUGAAU